rnacentral:lncRNA from 1 species
UCUCCCCUUUCUUUGGGGGCACUCUCCCCUUUAGGAUCUGGCCUGGACUUAGGCUACGAGAACUUGUUGACAAGUGAAAGCUUGGUAGAACCGCGGCCCGGUUUGUGUGUUUGUUUAUUUUUUACAAAGUGACUUCAUAUUUACUCUGGACCUCGUCUGUGCCCUUUGGGGGGACAUCGGCUCUGAUCAGCGCGCCAGCAGCCGCCGUCCGAGCUGCGGGGAAACGGGGCGCGCCCUCUGGGGGGCGAGUGGCAGUGUCCGAGCUAAUUUCCUCCGUAACCUUUAAACUCUCGCUGGAAGCCGUGGCGGCGGUUGAUCACGUGAGGCGAGCCCUGGGCUGCUGGGGAAGAAUUUCCUCCGCGGGGAGCCGGGGACGGGGACGGCUGCCUGGCGAGGGACGGCCCCGCGCCAGGGGACGCGAACCUGCGCGGGCGGGGCCGAGAGCGCGGAGGCCCGGGGCGCGGCCCGGGCCGGACUCCCCGGGGGACUGCGCAGGAAGAGGUCGUCUCUGCAACCUGCGAGCGGGGGUUAAUAUAUUUAUAAUGCAAAUAGCCCUGGAAGGAGUAGUACCUGGACUCAUGUUGCUGUGAGUUAGUUGGUCAGCUCUCUAAAAGGGUUUCGGUGGUGUAGCGGGUUGCAUGGUUGCUCCCCAAAAGAUAUGUCCACGUCCUAAUCUCUGGAACCUAGUCCUUAGAAGUGUGACUGUUACCUUAUUUGGAAAAACAGGUCUUUGAAGAUAUAAUGAAGUUCAAGAUCUUGAGAAGAGAUCAUUCUGGAUCACCCGGGUGGGCUAAAUCCAAAGACAAUACAAUGAAUAUACAGUGAAGCAGAUGGAGAUGGACACAGACACAGAGGAGAAGGCGAUGUAAAGACAGAGGCGAAGACUGGAGUGAUGAGGCCACAAGCCAAGGAAGCCAAAGAAUGUCGACAGCCCCCAGAAGCUGGAAGAGACUAGGAAAGGUUCUCCCCUGGAGCCUCCACAGAGAAUGAGGUCCUGUUGACAUCUUGACUUCAGACUUCUGGCUUCCAGAACUGUGAGAGAAUACCAUUUCUGGUGCUUUAAACCUCCCAGGUUGUGGUAAUUUUUUUUGCAGGAGCAGGAAACUGAGACAGGUGGCAUAGGCUUGCUGAGUAUUUAAAGGAAAUAAAGACCCAGAGAGGGAAGCCUGUGGGCCA